AUUCCAGCUCCAAUAGCGUAUAUUAAAGUUGUUGCAGUUAAAAAGCUCGUAGUUGGAUCUUGGGCUGUGGGUGAACACUUCUAGUCGCGAGACUGUUGUGGGCGCACGGGGCCUAUCUCUCCGGUGUCGCUGGUGGUCUUCACUGACUGUCUGUGGGUGCCGGAGACGUUUACUUUGAAGAAAUUAGAGUGUUCAAAGCAGGCUUACGCCUGAAUAAUGGUGCAUGGAAUAAUGGAAUCGGGCCCCGGUCUUAUUCUGUUGGUCUUCGAGACCCGAGGCAAUGAUUAAGAGGGACGGCCGGGGGCGUUCGUAUUGCGCUGUGAGAGGUGAAAUUCUUGGAUCGGCGCAAGACGAACUACAGCGAAAGCAUUCGCCAAGAAUGUUUUCAUCG
rnacentral:rRNA from 1 species